rnacentral:lncRNA from 1 species
GACAGAGAACUAUUAUGGUUUUGGUACUAACCUCGUUCCCAUAGGAAUCACCGAAUGCAAGACUUAUUUUGUCUCUGGUGUAAGAUGAAGAGGAGCAGCUAGUCUUGACUACAACUGUGUAAGAACAGCUUCUUGCAUUUGCAGCCUGAUUAUGAUUAUGGUACAUGCCAAAAUGAAUGAAAAACAAAUAUUAAUUAGUUUCUUGUCGAACAGUGAUCAAGACCUCGUCAGAAAACAUACCUGAAUAGAUUUAGGCGGGAAGGAGUUGAGAAGAUGAGGUUGUGGAGGCGAGACAGAUGUAGCAGGUGGAGAAAUUAU